GAUGAACGCUGGCGGCGUGCCUAAUACAUGCAAGUCGAGCGAACGGACGAGAAGCUUGCUUCUCUGAUGUUAGCGGCGGACGGGUGAGUAACACGUGGAUAACCUACCUAUAAGACUGGGAUAACUUCGGGAAACCGGAGCUAACACCGGAUAAUAUUUUGAACCGCAUGGUUCAAAAGUGAAAGACGGUCUUGCUGUCACUUAUAGAUGGAUCCCCGCUGCAUUAGCUAGUUGGUAAGGUAACGGCUUACCAAGGCAACGAUGCAUAGCCGACCUGAGAGGGUGAUCGGCCACACUGGAACUGAGACACGGUCCAGACUCCUACGGGAGGCAGCAGUAGGGAAUCUUCCGCAAUGGGCGAAAGCCUGACGGAGCAACGCCGCGUGAGUGAUGAAGGUCUUCGGAUCGUAAAACUCUGUUAUUAGGGAAGAACAUAUGUGUAAUUAACUGUGCACAUCUUGACGGUACCUAAUCAGAAAGCCACGGCUAACUACGUG
rnacentral:rRNA from 1 species